rnacentral:misc_RNA from 1 species
GUACAUUUGAUCUCAGCCAUAUAUGAAACUGUGAAAUGUAAGUUUCAAGGGUAAUCUUGCCAAGCCACGCAAAGAGUGUCAAAGAGUAGUUUCGGAACUGCUGGGUAAAAUUCCUCAGGCAUAUAUAAACAGUUAUGGGAAUCCAUGAUGUGUAAGGAUGAUACUUGUUGUAUGUAAUUUUGUCCAGCUUGUAAAUCCACUCAUACCACAUAUAACCAACGGACAAGGAAACUGUAAC